rnacentral:rRNA from 1 species
AAGCAAGAUGACCCUGC